CCUGGGCAGGAUUGGGAGAGAGGUAGCUACCCGGAUGCAGUCCUUUGGGAUGAAGGCCUUCCUUCUCCGUGGCACCACUACACAUCAAAUUCCUGGCUCAGCAAUAUUCUUCAUCAUGGAGACUUCAGCAGUGACUUAAACCAGAUGAAAAGCCCCACCUCAUUCCUGAAUGAUUGAGGUGCUAGAACGUGCUCUUUGUAAACCCCUGAAACAUAGCUUGGAUCAUUCUGCCUCCCACCUCAACCCCUCCGGAGCUGCCUGGACCUCAGCAUUCCGGAGAGUCUAAGUGGCCUCUGCUCGUGCUCAGCUGCUUACCU
rnacentral:sRNA from 1 species